rnacentral:lncRNA from 1 species
AUUGUCUGCAACGACAUACCAGGGAGUGAGAGAGGCACGUUGCUGUCAUAUCAUCCUUGAGAGAUGCUAGCUGACACCAGUGGCUGGCCACUGCAACAGGUAUCUAGACUGAGAGAUGAAACUUGAAGGACUUAGUGCUACUCAAGGAAACAGAAACUGCUGGUCCCUCAGUGUCUCUUUGAGGUAAUGGUUUCUCCAUAUUUUCAGCUGCCUGAGUCGAUCCUGGAUUUCCUAUCUCUCACACUCUACAUCUGGUGACUCUAGAAAACCUGUUCUACCACCAAGAUGCACGCCAAAUCUAACCACUCCCCAGCCUUCCCACAUCCUUCCUGGAUUUCUCUGUAACAUGCCCCUCUAGACUUUCUGUCUUCAGUCACACUUGGGUCAGACACAGGGUUCAGCACUUGAUCUACUCUGCACACGGGAAACUUGGUAAUGAUACCACUGGCAAGCCCACACUCACUCCCUAGAAAUGGAAGCAAGCCAACAUAUUAAUUUUUAUUGAAAAUCAGAUUUCAUGGUUUUUUUUUUUAGAUUUCAUGUUAAGUUUGCUAAAUAUGUUGAGCUUAUAUUCCUCCAUCAUCCCAAGGCAUAUUAAAUUAUGAUUUGUUUGUAUAUUACAACUGGAGGAUGUGAUCUCCCAUAAACCCACAUUUAAGCAAUAGAAAGUACCUUUCUGGAACACGGCAUUUAAACUGCACAAAGAUAGGUCUGUUCUUAACCAGGUAGGUUAGGAAUUAGCCUUUACCUUUAAUAAGGGACUUUAGCCUUCCGAGGAGAGAGGUGAGAUGCGCCCUAAAGAUUACAGUUGCCUUGGGGUGGUAUAGGAAUCUAGUAGUUCUGUUAGAGCUUGCAACCCUUUCCCCACAGACUCUAGAGUCUUUCAGGAAAAAAUACUGAAAGUCAGGAGUGAGCCAACAUAGAGAAUUAAACAGUGAGAUGGACCAGCCCAUAGUUAGGAGACAAUCAGAGCCUGGCCUGUAUAACACAUCCUCCCAGCUAGGAUGGUUGAAUGAGACCUGCACAAAAUCUCACUAUCCGAACAAAACAUCAAUAAAAUGUUAGUUAUCUAGAAAGAAUCCAAGAGUGGGGUAGAAAUAAGCUGGUUCUGAUCAUUAUGAAUUUACUUUUCUGCAAAUUUUACUUUAAAAAUAUAAAACUUUUUUUUUUAAAGCGUGAUGUAAGUGGGAAAAACAAAACAAGACCGAACAAGAGCCCGUGAAAGGUACACAGGGUAGAAAGUCUGUGACAUCACAGAGGUGUGGGUUCCGCUUUGGUUUGAGCCUUUAGCGAGUCAGCAGACACAAGGAGAGUUAUUUGAUCCUUCUGCUCCUCAUUUCCUCAUCUGGAAAUUUAAAAUUAUAGGCUCCAUUUGUGUAUCAGUAUCCACUCAGGUGGGGAGUCACUUGUUAUAUGUUUUUACUGCCUUAAUAGUCUCAGCAAUGUUAACUUUUAGGGGAACUUACAGUUUUUCUGUUAACUGAUCUUUUGGUUAAUGGUAGAAAAAAAAAUUGAAAUC